rnacentral:rRNA from 1 species
UGGGGAAUAUUGCACAAUGGGCGCAAGCCUGAUGCAGCCAUGCCGCGUGUAUGAAGAAGGCCUUCGGGUUGUAAAGUACUUUCAGUCGGGAGGAAGGUGGUAAGGUUAAUAACCUUAUCAAUUGACGUUACCGACAGAAGAAGCACCGGCUAACUCCGUGCCAGCAGCCGCGGUAAUACGGAGGGUGCAAGCGUUAAUCGGAAUUACUGGGCGUAAAGCGCACGCAGGCGGUUGAUUGAGUCAGAUGUGAAAUCCCCGGGCUUAACCCGGGAAUUGCAUCUGAUACUGGUCAGCUAGAGUCUUGUAGAGGGGGGUAGAAUUCCAUGUGUGGCGGGGAAAUGCGUAGAGAUGUGGAGGAAUACCGGUGGCGAAGGCGGCCCCCUGGACAAAGACUGACGCUCAGGUGCGAAAGCGUGGGGAGCAAACAGG